AGCAGCCGCGGUAAUUCCAGCUCCAAUAGCGUAUAUUAAAGUUGUUGCAGUUAAAAAGCUCGUAGUUGAAUUUCGAGAUCAAAUUGUUGGUCGUGCCUUGGUACGCACUGGCAUUAUUGGUUUCUCCCUUCUGAAGAACCAUGAUGUCAUUAAUUUGGUGUCUUGGGGAAUCAGGACUGUUACUUUGAAAAAUUGAGUGUUUAAAGCAGGCUCGCGCUUGAAUACAUUAGCAUGGAAUAAUGAAAUAGGACGUUUGAUUUCUAUUUUGUUGGUUUCUAGGAUCGACGUAAUGAUUAUAGGGAUAGUUGGGGCAUUAGUAUUCGAAUUGU
rnacentral:rRNA from 1 species